GGUAACAUCAAAUCGUACCCCAAACCGACACAGGUGGUCAGGUAGAGAAUACCAAGGCGCUUGAGAGAACUCGGGUGAAGGAACUAGGCAAAAUGGUGCCGUAACUUCGGGAGAAGGCACGCUGAUACGUAGGUGAAGUCCCUUGCGGAUGGAGCUGAAAUCAGUCGAAGAUACCAGCUGGCUGCAACUGUUUAUUAAAAACACAGCACUGUGCAAACACGAAAGUGGACGUAUACGGUGUGACGCCUGCCCGGUGCCGGAAGGUUAAUUG
rnacentral:rRNA from 1 species